rnacentral:rRNA from 1 species
GAGGAUACGGUUAACGGAGCGAAAGCGACGUUCAACCUCAAAAGAAGCAGAGGGGGCUUAGUGGUGGGGUGACUGCGUACCUUUUGUAUAAUGGGUCAGCGACUUAUAUUCUGUAGCAAGGUUAACCGAAUAGGGGAGCCGGAGGGAAACCGAGUCUUAAUUGGGCGUUAAGUUGCAGGGUAUAGACCCGAAACCCGGUGAUCUAGCCAUGGGCAGGUUGAAGGUUGGGUAACACUAACUGGAGGACCGAACCGACUAAUGUUGAAAAAUUAGCGGAUGACCUGUGGCUGGGGGUGAAAGGCCAAUCAAACCGGGAGAUAGCUGGUUCUCCCCGAAAGCUAUUUAGGUAGCGCCUCGUGAAUUCAUCUCCGGGGGUAGAGCACUGUUUCGGCUAGGGGGCCAUCCCGGCUUACCAACCCGAUGCAAACUGCGAAUACCGGAGAAUGUUAUCACGGGAGACACACGGCGGGUGCUAACGUCCGUCGUGAAGAGGGAAACAACCCAGACCGCCAGCUAAGGUCCCAAAGUCAUGGUUAAGUGGGAAACGAUGUGGGAAGGCCCAGACAGCCAGGAUGUUGGCUUAGAAGCAGCCAUCAUUUAAAGAAAGCGUAAUAGCUCACUGGUCGAGUCGGCCUGCGCGGAAGAUGUAACGGGGCUAAACCAUGCACCGAAGCUGCGGCAGCGACGCUGAUGCGUUGUUGGGUAGGGGAGCGUUCUGUAAGCCUGCGAAGGUGGCCUGUGAGGGUUGCUGGAGGUAUCAGAAGUGCGAAUGCUGACAUAAGUAACGAUAAAGCGGGUGAAAAGCCCGCUCGCCGGAAGACCAAGGGUUCCUGUCCAACGUUAAUCGGGGCAGGGUGAGUCGACCCCUAAGGCGAGGCCGAAAGGCGUAGUCGAUGGGAAACGGGUUAAUAUUCCCGUACUUGGUGUUACUGCGAAGGGGGGACGGAGAAGGCUAUGUUGGCCGGGCGACGGUUGUCCCGGUUUAAGCGUGUAGGUGUGUGUUCCAGGUAAAUCCGGUUCACUUUAACACUGAGGCGUGAUGACGAGGCACUACGGUGCUGAAGCAACAAAUGCCCUGCUUCCAGGAAAAGCCUCUAAGCAUCAGGUAACAUCAAAUCGUACCCCAAACCGACACAGGUGGUCAGGUAGAGAAUACCAAGGCGCUUGAGAGAACUCGGGUGAAGGAACUAGGCAAAAUGGUGCCGUAACUUCGGGAGAAGGCACGCUGACACGUAGGUGAAGUGAUUUACUCAUGGAGCUGAAGUCAGUCGAAGAUACCAGCUGGCUGCAACUGUUUAUUAAAAACACAGCACUGUGCAAACACGAAAGUGGACGUAUACGGUGUGACGCCUGCCCGGUGCCGGAAGGUUAAUUGAUGGGGUCAGCGCAAGCGAAGCUCCUGAUCGAAGCCCCGGUAAACGGCGGCCGUAACUAUAACGGUCCUAAGGUAGCGAAAUUCCUUGUCGGGUAAGUUCCGACCUGCACGAAUGGCGUAAUGAUGGCCAGGCUGUCUCCACCCGAGACUCAGUGAAAUUGAACUCGCUGUGAAGAUGCAGUGUACCCGCGGCAAGACGGAAAGACCCCGUGAACCUUUACUAUAGCUUGACACUGAACAUUGAGCCUUGAUGUGUAGGAUAGGUGGGAGGCUUUGAAGUGUGGACGCCAGUCUGCAUGGAGCCGGCCUUGAAAUACCACCCUUUAAUGUUUGAUGUUCUAACGUGGACCCGUGAUCCGGGUUGCGGACAGUGUCUGGUGGGUAGUUUGACUGGGGCGGUCUCCUCCUAAAGAGUAACGGAGGAGCACGAAGGUUGGCUAAUCCUGGUCGGACAUCAGGAGGUUAGUGCAAUGGCAUAAGCCAGCUUGACUGCGAGCGUGACGGCGCGAGCAGGUGCGAAAGCAGGUCAUAGUGAUCCGGUGGUUCUGAAUGGAAGGGCCAUCGCUCAACGGAUAAAAGGUACUCCGGGGAUAACAGGCUGAUACCGCCCAAGAGUUCAUAUCGACGGCGGUGUUUGGCACCUCGAUGUCGGCUCAUCACAUCCUGGGGCUGAAGUAGGUCCCAAGGGUAUGGCUGUUCGCCAUUUAAAGUGGUACGCGAGCUGGGUUUAGAACGUCGUGAGACAGUUCGGUCCCUAUCUGCCGUGGGCGCUGGAGAACUGAGGGGGGCUGCUCCUAGUACGAGAGGACCGGAGUGGACGCAUCACUGGUGUUCGGGUUGUCAUGCCAAUGGCACUGCCCGGUAGCUAAAUGCGGAAGAGAUAAGUGCUGAAAGCAUCUAAGCACGAAACUUGCCCCGAGAUGAGUUCUCCCUGAGACUUAGAGUCUCCUGAAGGAACGUUGAAGACGACGACGUUGAUAGGCCGGGUGUGUAAGCGCAGCGAUGCGUUGAGCUAACCGGUACUAAUGAACCGUGAGGCUUAACCUUACAACGCCG